GAGGUUGUAGCUCAGUGGUAGAGCAUUUGCCCGGCAUGUGCAAGGCACUGGGUUUGAGCCUCAGCACCACA
rnacentral:tRNA from 1 species